UUCCUGGUAGCUCAGCUGGUAAAGAAUCUGCCUGCAAAGCAGGAACCCCUGAUUCGAUUUCUAGGUCAGGAAG
rnacentral:tRNA from 1 species